AUACGGAGGAUCCGAGCGUUAUCCGGAUUUAUUGGGUUUAAAGGGUGCGCAGGCGGCCAUUUAAGUCAGCGGUUAAAUCGUGGGGCUCAACCCCAUUCUGCCGUUGAUACUGGGUGGCUUGAUUGCGGUCGAGGUGGGCGGAAUUAGUUGGGUAGCGGUGAAAUGCAUAGAUAUGACGAAGAACACCGAUUGCGUAGGCAGCUGACCAGACCGCAAAUGACGCUCAUGCACGAAAGUGCGGGGAUCGAACAGGAUUAGAUACCCUGGUAGUCCGCACAGUAAACGAUGAAUACUUGUUUUCGGCGAUAUAAUGUCGGAGGCAAAGCGAAAGCGAUAAGUAUUCCACCUGGGGAGUACGCCGGCAACGGUGAAACUCAAAUGAAUUGACGGGG
rnacentral:rRNA from 1 species